rnacentral:misc_RNA from 1 species
UAUUCUCAACCCUCCAGAUUCUUGUCGAGUUUGGAUGGGUUGGACUUGGAGGCUUUCAUUGCUGGUGAAUCUCUCACCGGCUCCUCUGAAAUACAUUAGCAGGAAUACGGCUGCAUUGGCUUCAGUGUGAUAAUUGUCUACGCUGUUGCUGUGUGGCAUAUAAAAAUGGUUCUUGCUUCUAAUCCGUCUUUCUCUGAGAGACAACCUUUUCUUGACA